AUUGAACGCUGGCGGCAUGCCUUACACAUGCAAGUCGAACGGCAGCAUGGAAGAGCUUGCUCUUCUGAUGGCGAGUGGCGAACGGGUGAGUAAAGCAUCGGAACGUACCGUGUAGUGGGGGAUAACGUAGCGAAAGUUACGCUAAUACCGCAUACGCACUGAGGUGGAAAGCAGGGGAUCGCAAGACCUUGCGCUAUACGAGCGGCCGAUGUCAGAUUAGCUAGUUGGUAGGGUAAAGGCCUACCAAGGCGACGAUCUGUAGCGGGUCUGAGAGGAUGAUCCGCCACACUGGGACUGAGACACGGCCCAGACUCCUACGGGAGGCAGCAGUGGGGAAUUUUGGACAAUGGGGGAAACCCUGAUCCAGCCAUGCCGCGUGAGUGAAGAAGGCCUUCGGGUUGUAAAGCUCUUUCGGCCGGGAAGAAAUCGCACAGGCUAAUACUCUGUGUGGAUGACGGUACCAGCACAAGAAGCACCGGCUAACUACGUGCCAGCAGCCGCAGUAA
rnacentral:rRNA from 1 species